rnacentral:misc_RNA from 1 species
CGCUAUCUUCCUCUUCUUCCAAGAAAAACCCCAGGGCAUCUUAUUCUCUUACCAAUUGAAUUCCAAUUUCAAUUUAUCUCAUCAAAUCAUUCCUAAUUCCUUUUCACUUUUCUGUAUUCUCAAUUUCUUAUACAAGAAAAUGUCAUCGGAGAUCGAGGUGGUGGAGGAGGAGGUUCAAUUUAUUAAUGGGGAGUCGGCAUCUGUUAAUGGAGCCAAUGGGAUCGGUGAUGGAGGCGUUGUGGGCGAAGAGAGUUUGAGGAACGAUGUUUACACUGCCGCUGCUUAUGGGGAUUUGGAGAAGCUUCAGAGAUUGGUGGAGACUGAGGGUUGCUCUGUUUCCGAGCCUGAUAGCCUCGGAUACUACGCGUUACAGUGGGCCG